rnacentral:rRNA from 1 species
AACGAACGCUGGCGGCAGGCCUAACACAUGCAAGUCGAGCGAGCAUUUCGGUGCUAGCGGCGGACGGGUGAGUAACGCGUGGGAACGUGCCCUUUCUGCGGAAUAGUCCUGGGAAACUGGGGGUAAUACCGCAUACGCCCUUUUGGGGAAAGAUUUAUCGGAGAAGGAUCGGCCCGCGUUGGAUUAGGUAGUUGGUGGGGUAAUGGCCCACCAAGCCGACGAUCCAUAGCUGGUUUGAGAGGAUGAUCAGCCACACUGGGACUGAGACACGGCCCAGACUCCUACGGGAGGCAGCAGUGGGGAAUCUUAGACAAUGGGGGCAACCCUGAUCUAGCCAUGCCGCGUGAGUGAUGAAGGCCUUAGGGUUGUAAAGAUCUUUAAGCUGGGAAGAUAAUGACGGUACCAGCAGAAGAAGCCCCGGCUAACUACGUG